AUUGAACGCUGGCGGCAGGCCUAACACAUGCAAGUCGAACGGUAACAGGAAGAAGCUUGCUUCUUUGCUGACGAGUGGCGGACGGGUGAGUAAUGUCUGGGAAACUGCCUGAUGGAGGGGGAUAACUACUGGAAACGGUAGCUAAUACCGCAUAACGUCGCAAGACCAAAGAGGGGGACCUUCUGGCCUCUUGCCAUCUGAUGUGCCCAGAUGGGAUUAGCUAGUAGGUGGGGUAACGGCUCACCUAGGCGACGAUCCCUAGCUGGUCUGAGAGGAUGACCAGCCACACUGGAACUGAGACACGGUCCAGACUCCUACGGGAGGCAGCAGUGGGGAAUAUUGCACAAUGGGCGCAAGCCUGAUGCAGCCAUGCCGCGUGUAUGAAGAAGGCCUUCGGGUUGUAAAGUACUUUCAGCGGGGAGGAAGGGAGUAAAGUUAAUACCUUUGCUCAUUGACGUUACCCGAAGAAGAAGCACCGGCUAACUCCGUG
rnacentral:rRNA from 1 species